GCAAUACUUCCACAGAACUAUCAUCCCAUGUCUCAUGCAAUGCCUAAAAAGUGCUCUUAAUUGGAUAUACAAGUAUAAUUAACGUUAAAAAAGAAGAAAUAUAAAUUUGACACGCAGAUACAUUAAAGGCUGAGUAGUAAUGAGUGGUUUUAAUAUUUGCCUUGUCGAGAGGAGAAUAUGUUUGUCAUCAAGCACUUGAAUCCUUUCCCCAGGUCACUACAGGAAAAGAUAUCUUCAUUAAAGUGCAACAGCACACUGAGAGCAACACACCACCACAGCAGUUAAUUUUGGAAAGGCUGCUGUAAGCUCCACUAGUGACUGACAUUUUACAGAAGACAGAUUGGUCAUGGGACGAGAGCCUGAACCUGGCUGAACUGAGAAGACCACCACACCAGCACCAAAGAGCAACUAGGAGACCGUGAUAUUCACGUGGACACUCUCAGCUUGCAGCCUCUGCUCUCUCUAGGGGCACUGUCCCACCCACCCUUGAGCCUGAGAAGAAAAGUUGGUAGAGGUGUUGUUCCCUCACUUCCAACAGAAAAGAGGUGUCCAG
rnacentral:lncRNA from 1 species